AACGCACUUGGCACCUGGAGAUGAUCCAGGUAUACCUGUUUGAGCAGAAUAUCUAAAUUCAUUUGAGUCUCACAUAUGAUGUGUGACUUGGAAAGAGUCUGAGUGGGACGUGCAACCAGCGCAUGUUCUGUGUGAUCGCAAGGCCGUGGUCUUGAUUCACAGAACAUGUAUUGUAAUUGUACGGUCAAUCCUGCCCACCACACUACUCUUGUACAUUCUCUCUCAAAUCAGGCAAGAUUACCCGCUGAACUUAA
rnacentral:misc_RNA from 1 species